CCGCUAAAAACAACAGAGGCCACGUCGCUUUACAGUAGAUCCGGGUGACAUUCACCGCGGGGAUAGGACCUCUGUGUCGGCUCGGUGUGCGAGUGGAUCGGUAACGUCGGUGUUAUUAUCGCGCUAUUACGGAUGAGUACAAUAUUUGGGUUAGUUAACGGUACAUGGUAGCGCUACUUAGGCUAGCUACCAUUAGCUUCGAUCCCCGUUAGCUUCUGAUGCUGUCAGACACACCUCCUCCGACCGGCUCCACAGCGACCUGACGGUACGAGCCUGGUUAGUCUGGGAGGAACCAGUCACUGCUGAAGUACCAGUCACUACUGAAGUACCAGUUACUACUGAAGUACCAGUUACUACUGGAAUACCAGUAAAGCCAGCGGCCUGCCGGCUGGUGUGUGGCCGCAUCACCCCUUCAGGCCAACCCGCUGCGACAGCUGCUUCACGCGAGGCUGUGCCCCCUCCUGGGUCCCCCGGGGCGCUGGGGGUCCGCCGGCGGUGAAGUAGCACAGUAAAGUGUAACUAUACCAUUGGUGUAAAUAUUAUCUCAAUGUCAUGUACAUGAAGGUCCAAACACAACAACAAGUAGAGCAGGGGACGUUGUGGAUAUGACGUACAGCAUGUCUAUGUGAUGGACACAGCCGCUCCCGGCAUGCUUCUGUUUCUGAUGCUUUUCAUUUAAAAACAUUUUAAGGUGUGUGUGUGAGAGCGAAAGAGAGAGUGUGUGUUUGUGUGUACUAUGAGUGUGUGUACGUACUAUGAGCUUAAUAGUGUGUGUGUCUGUGUGUGGGAGAGAGGGCUGGAUAUCUCUUGGUACAUAUCAUCUUAGCUGUCCUGACUUGUUGUGAGUCGGUUGCAUACUUAGAGGAUGACGUCGGCAGCGUGAGAGAGCGUCACACUCCAAGAAUACUAGUCUAACGAUCCACAGUACCACAAUAGAAUGUUACCCCAGAAACCCUAACUAUAGCCCUCCUGAAUACCACAUUACUAUACUAUAGCAGGAUACUACAGUAUAAUGCUCUACAAUAAUACAAAAAACAAUAGAAUACUAAAUAAUGACUCAAUACUACAAUAGAGUCUUUAAGAAUACUGUUGGAAUAUUACUCUAUAUGAUCUACAAUACUCUAGAAUACUCUGGAGUCCUCCAGUCGAACACUGUGUCGUCCCCUGGUGUGUGGGGUCCCGGUGCCUCUGUCCUGGGGUGGUCCGGCCUGUGGACAUGGUGGACCACCACGGCUCCUUCACCAACAUGACAGAGUACUUUAGGGCAAGAUUCUCAAGCUGGAUUUACUGGAUGUUGAUGAGCAUUAGGGCCCUUGCCCUGUGGUGGCGUAUGUCCUGUGGUUGCCAGGUUGGGUAUGUUUACUCUCUAAACUCAGUACAGAGUGGACUCCAAGAAGUUCUUCACACCUGCCUGAUAAAAUAGGGAUGUUCUAUUUCCUAUUUUCUAAGUCUUUCUACUGGUUCUCCUGGAAGCUGCCCAGUACCAACCAUUGUCUGCUACGGUUGGACACUUCAGCUGCCAACAAUCACAGGCUCCUACUGGGUGUUCACCAGUUCCAGAUGAUGGUUGCUUACCUGUAGAGUAGCUAACUAACCAACACUCUGACCAUUCUACCAGAUCAGACUAGAGGUUCACAACAGGACCACCAGAUGAUGGUAGUUCAGAGAGGAGGUCUGCAGGGGGGUCCAGCUGGCUCUCCUGGGCCCCGGUACUAAAAGUAGACCGACCAGGAAUAACAACGCUCCGCUCACUCACUCAUGACGGAGUGUGUUUGAACCUGAUAGCAGAUCCAGGGGAAGCAACUGUUGAUUCAGACAUGAGACAGGUGGUUCUGCUGAACCCUCUGAUACCAGGAAACACCUCCACGCCCCAGCUCAUGAGUCAUGUUCACAUCUGACACUCAGCUAGUAACUCAGCCAGCCAGCCAGCCAGUCAGUCAGUCACAUCUGAUACUCAGCCAGUAACUCAGCCAGCCAGUCAGUCAGUCAGUCACAUCUGAUACUCAGCCAGUAACUCAGCCAGCCAGUCAGUCAGUCAGUCACAUCUGAUACUCAGCCAGUAACUCAGCCAGCCAGUCAGUCAGUCAGUCACAUCUGAUACUCAGCCAGUAACUCACUCAGUCAGUAAGUUGCUCCCUCACUUAGUCAGUCAGUCAGUCAUAACAAUGCUACAGGGCUGUAGCGGUAGCACCAGCUGUAGUAAACAGUACUCCAGUGGUAACCCUGACACCUGAAACCGUCUCCAGACCAGCUACCUCAGGAGACCCCUGUAGACCGGGCCACCCUCCCGCUGAGGUGGGUAGCAUCUCCCGCGUCUCGGUCUUUGACCAGUGGGUUUGGGUUUCCGCUGGUUUCGGUGGACUAUGUGGGACCACGGUUAGCCCGGGGGGAACCACAAGAAUCCGGGGCUCCUGUUUGAUUGGCUCCUCCCGUUCAGGUCGGGCCAAUCAGAACCCUUGAAACGAUAUGGGGCGGGUUUGACACGAUGACUGAAUAGCGGAGCAGCCUAUGGGAGCACUCUUUUAAGAAACAACCAAGAUGGCGGCCGCUGAUUAGUCACACACAUCUCAUCGCUCUGAUUGGCUGUCGGUCUUUCCACUUGCUCCCCGGGGCUGUUGGGUCUGUUUCUGUUGUCUCGGAACUGGUUCCAGACGGGCGCGCAGUGGAGGGUUGGCCUGGCGGGGUCGGGCUAGCCCUCCCUGUGGGUCCGGUCAGUCUGACGACCGGACCCCCCAGCGCCAGGUGCCUCCACGGGGGAUGGGGGGCCGGGGUCAGACAGGGGGCGCAGGUACUCUGCUGCUGGUCUCGCGCUCUCUCGCUCUCUCUUUCUCGCUCUCUGUCUCUGUCUCGUCUCUCUGUGGCUCUCUGUCUGUCUGUCUGUCUGUCUGUCUGUCUGUCUGUCUGUCUCUGUGUCUGUCUGUCUGUCUCUCUCUCUUGGUCUGUCUGUCUCUUUCUCGCUCUCUGUCUGCUCUGUCUCUGUCUGUCUGUCUGUCUGUCUGUCUGUCUGUCUGUCUGUCUGUCUGUCUGUCUGUCUGUCUGUCUGUCUGUCUGUCUGUCUGUCUGUCUGUCUGUUUGUCUCUCUCUGUGUCUGUGUCUGUGUCUCUUUCUCGCUCUCUGUGUCUGCCAUGUCUCUCUCUGUAAUUGUCUCUCUCACUGUCUCUCUGUCUCCAUCUCUCGGUCUCUCUCUCUUGCAUAUACACUGAGAGUAGACACACACAUAUUUCCUUGUUGUCAUGACGACACUAGACGAAGAAGGGACCCCCGGUCAAGUGUGUGUGUGUGUGUGUGUGUGUGUGUGUGUGUCACACUGUGUCUUGCAUGCCUUCAGUGUUUGGUUUCAUAGCCAGCUGGAUGGACAGGCAGCCAGAUGAUGAUGAUGUUAAUCUUGGACCUGGGGGCCUACUAUAAGUGUGUUAUCAUCCAGAUAAAUCACACAUUUCAACCAAAAUAACCGAGAAGGCUUUUGGUAUAUGACAGCUUUGUUCUGGAAGAGUUCUGGUAUAUAACAGCUGUGUUCUGGAAGGGUUCUGGUAUAUAACAGCUGUGUUCUGGAAGGGUUCUCGUGUAUUACAGCUGUGUGUUCUAGAAGAGUUCUGGUAUACAAUAGCUGUGUGUUCUAGAAUCUGUAUGUCUUUUUACAGCUGUGUGUCCUAUAAAACUAUAAAAAGGUUUCGGCUCACAGCCCUGUCUGCAUGCAAGGCGGAAGUCUGACUGAAAUUUAGCUCAAAGGAUUUCUGUAUCAUUUAUUCGCUGUGUCUGUUUCCAUUGCACACAAAUAUGAAGUGAAGAAAGUGGAGGCCGUUGUUCAGCCGGAUCUGAGCUGAGGUCGGCGUGAAGCUUCCCUUCCGCUUUGAACACUCUGCCUUUCACAGUCUGCCUGACCACCGAUCAGGUCUGGAUCAGGUCCCGAUCGUAGUCUGACCUUUGGACCCCUGUUCCUCUCCCGGGACGCUAUGGCCACGCUACAGGGCGACGCCAGGGAGAGCUGUUAACGACAAUCCGUUAAGGGUGCAAAGUGUACAGUGCUUUGUACACAGCCGAAGGAUGUGUCCUCAAAAGCCCCUAUGGACAACUGCAAGCAAAUCCCCGCUGGGCUGUAAAGGCAUAGCACCACCAGAGGGCGACAGAACUCCUGGGAGUCAAUGUCGAUCAUGGAAAUAACAUAUCCAGCUACAGGUGUGCCCCCGACCCC